CUUAAAGGAACACUAUAGGGUCAGGAAUACAAACAUGUAUUCCUGAUCCUCUAAUGUUAAAAACAUUAUUUAGGAACCUGGCCCCCCUUUAAAGGUUUACUGACCUGAAUCAAUGCAUCUCUGUGAGGAAAGUUUAGCGUCUCCAUACAGUGUGCAGCACUGACCCAGGGAGCACGUUUAAUGGCCGUCUGAGUAACUGCCACUGUCC